AUUGAACGCUGGCGGCAUGCCCUACACAUGCAAGUCGAACGGUAACGCGGGGCAACCUGGCGACGAGUGGCGAACGGGUGAGUAAUGCAUCGGAACGUGCCCAGUAGUGGGGGAUAGCCCGGCGAAAGCCGGAUUAAUACCGCAUACGACCUACGGGUGAAAGGGGGGGAUCGCAAGACCUCUCGCUAUUGGAGCGGCCGAUGUCAGAUUAGGUAGUUGGUGGGGUAAGGGCCUACCAAGCCGACGAUCUGUAGCUGGUCUGAGAGGACGACCAGCCACACUGGGACUGAGACACGGCCCAGACUCCUACGGGAGGCAGCAGUGGGGAAUUUUGGACAAUGGGCGAAAGCCUGAUCCAGCCAUGCCGCGUGCGGGAAGAAGGCCUUCGGGUUGUAAACCGCUUUUGUCAGGGAAGAAAUCUUCUGGGUUAAUACUUCGGGAGGAUGACGGUACCUGAAGAAUAAGCACCGGCUAACUACGUGCCAGCAGCCGCCGUAAGAC
rnacentral:rRNA from 1 species